GAUGAACGCUGGCGGCGUGCUUAACACAUGCAAGUCGAACGAAGCACUUUACCUGAUUUCCUUCGGGGAUGAUUGUUCUGUGACUGAGUGGCGGACGGGUGAGUAACGCGUGGAUAACCUGCCUCACACAGGGGGAUAACAGUUGGAAACGACUGCUAAUACCGCAUAAGCGCACAGCACCGCAUGGUGCAGUGUGAAAAACUCCGGUGGUGUGAGAUGGAUCCGCGUCUGAUUAGCUAGUUGGCGGGGUAACGGCCCACCAAGGCGACGAUCAGUAGCCGGCCUGAGAGGGCGACCGGCCACAUUGGGACUGAGACACGGCCCAGACUCCUACGGGAGGCAGCAGUGGGGAAUAUUGCACAAUGGGGGAAACCCUGAUGCAGCGACGCCGCGUGAGCGAUGAAGUAUUUCGGUAUGUAAAGCUCUAUCAGCAGGGAAGAUAAUGACGGUACCUGACUAAGAAGCUCCGGC
rnacentral:rRNA from 1 species